AUACGUAGGGGGCGAGCGUUGUCCGGAAUGAUUGGGCGUAAAGGGCGCGUAGGCGGCCCGGUAAGUCUGGAGUGAAAGUCCUGUUUUUAAGAUGGAAUUGCUUUGGAUACUGUCGGGCUUGAGUGCAGGAGAGGUAAGUGGAAUUCCCAGUGUAGCGGUGAAAUGCGUAGAGAUUGGGAGGAACACCAGUGGCGAAGGCGACUUACUGGACUGUAACUGACGCUGAGGCGCGAAAGUGUGGGGAGCAAACAGGAUUAGAUACCCUGGUAGUCCACACUGUAAACGAUGAAUGCUAGGUGUAAGAGGUAUCGACCCCUUUUGUGCCGGAGUCAACACAAUAAGCAUUCCGCCUGGGGAGUACGGCCGCAAGGUUGAAACUCAAAUGAAUUGACGGGG
rnacentral:rRNA from 1 species